UGCAUGUCUAAGUACAUACCUUUGCACGGUGAAACCGCGAAUGGCUCAUUAAAUCAGUUAUGGUUCCUUAGAUCGCUCAUACUACAUGGAUAACUGUGGUAAUUCUAGAGCUAAUACAUGCAAAAAGCUCCGACCGUAUGGGAAGAGCGCUUUUAUUAGACCAAAACCAAUGGGGUCGCAAGAUCCCUUUGUAUGGUGACUCUGGAUAACUUUGUGCUGAUCGCAUGGCCUCGAGCCGGCGACGUAUCUUUCAAGUGUCUGCCCUAUCAACUUUCGAUGGUAAGCGAUUUGCCUACCAUGGUUGUAACGGGUAACGGGGAAUCAGGGUUCGAUUCCGGAGAGGGAGCAUGAGAAAUGGCUACCACAUCUACGGAAGGCAGCAGGCGCGCAAAUUACCCACUCCUAGAACGGGGAGGUAGUGACGAAAAAUAACAAUACCGGACUCAAUGAGGCUCGGUAAUUGAAAUGAGUACAGUUUAAAACCCUUAACGAGGAUCUAUUGGAGGGCAAGUCUGGUGCCAGCAGCCGCGGUAAUUCCAGCUCCAAUAGCGUAUAUUAAAGUUGUUGCAGUUAAAAAGCUCGUAGUUGGAUCUCGGGUACUAGCAUGUGGUACGCUUAACUGCUGUUACUACAUGUCUGGUCCUAAUCAACCGGUUGGCCGUUGAUGCCCUUUAUUGGGUGUUUUCGGUAGCCGGUACGUUUACUUUGAGAAAAUUAGAGUGCUUAAAGCAGGCCUUACGCCUGAAUAAUGUUGCAUGGAAUAAUAGAAUAGGACCUCGGUUCUAUUUUGUUGGUUUUGU
rnacentral:rRNA from 1 species